CUUUCUUUGCUGGCGACCGGCGCACGGGUGAGUAACACGUAUCCAACCUGCCCUUUACUCGGGGAUAGCCUUUCGAAAGAAAGAUUAAUACCCGAUAGCGUAAUGAUUCCGCAUGGUUUCAUUAUUAAAGGAUUCCGGUAAAGGAUGGGGAUGCGUUCCAUUAGGUUGUUGGUGAGGUAACGGCUCACCAAGACUACGAUGGAUAGGGGUUCUGAGAGGAAGGUCCCCCACAUUGGAACUGAGACACGGUCCAA
rnacentral:rRNA from 1 species